UCUUCUUCUUCUUCAAAGGGAGAACCUGGACCUCCUGGCAAAGGGAUGGAUAUCAAGGGUUUGGAAAGCGUUUUGGAAGCUUACGGGAUCAAGCUGGCUCUCUUGAAAGAACUGACUGACCUUCUCAUCCAGGAUGGGGUGGAACUGGUCACCCAACAAAUUGCUGGCCCCAGAAAGGGGAAGGGGAAGGCCGCCAAAAAGAAGCAAGGGUUCAAACAAGCCGUGGACCAUGAGGUGAGUAGUCCAGGGGAAUGCAGAGGUGCUGUGGUAGGGAGGUGGCGCUUAAGGGAACAAGACAAAGCACCAAUUCCCAUCCAUUUUGCA
rnacentral:lncRNA from 1 species